AAGGGAAAGGGGCGCAUCUAAACGUUUCGCAAGCGUGAUAAUCAUAACAUUACAUAACUGAAAGAGUGGCAAGUAGGGCAUACACUUGCCAUCUGAUAAGAGUAUAGCAUUAAGCUUACAACCACACAUUAUUCAGAGCAUAGUUUAGUCCCUCUACGGAGAACAUGAAACAAGUAAAACUAUGACAUCCCGCAUGCUAGCCCCACGAUCACGACCACGGCCUCAGUCCUCUGGAUAGUUCAUGUACAGUAGACCGGAAUCCUCAUCGAACUCCCACGUCAGCUGACUGUCAUCAGGAUCUCCUGCGCCGGGCAUACCUGUACCUGUUGGUGUUUGUAGUAAUCUGUGAGCCACGGGGACUCAUCAAUCGAAUGAUCUUGGUAUCGAAUCUAGCCAAGUUAUUGGGUGAGGAAGGAUAGUGAAUGGGUUUGCAGCAACCUAAGCAUAUAUGGUGGCUACCUUACGAUGAUCAGAGUAAUCAUAUGGUGGUCUACGCGAGCGAUCGAAGACUAGGUUGAUCACUAAGUGAUCCUAAACACCUACUUACGUCAGACAUAACCCCACUACGUUCUCGAUCAGAGAACGAUCUCUGAAAGAGACAGUCACGGUUACGCACACAGUUGGCAGUUUUAUCAGAGUUACUUCAGGUUGUCUAGAACCGGAUGUUAACAAAAUAUCCAUAUUUGCCACAUAACCGCGGGCACGACUUCCCGAAAGAUUUAACCCUGCAGGGGUGCUUCAACUAGUCCAUCACAAACUGCCACAGGCCCCAAAGUAAUCCUCGAUCACGAAACUUGUGAUAUCGUUGAAUUCCUUAGAGGAAAACAUCAACUUUGAGGAGACCCAAAGUUUCACCGGAAUCCCAAUGCGCAAGAUAUAUCGCUAAGAUAAGACAGAUCUGGCAAGAUCUCCCGACGUGUUGACGAACCCGAUAGGAGCCGCGUAUCUCGUUCUCAGGACACGGCGGAUUGUCCAAACUUCCGGUAGGCCAGUCACAGAGUUGCCCCUGGUAGCCACCGGCGGUUGACAGGUUGGACCAACACUCGUGAGGAGCACUGGCCCAGGUUGUUGAUUAAUUCCUUAGGGUAGCUAUUCCCUAUGAAAAUAAUUAUUAGGUUAUUAGCAAAUUGAAAUCAAUGUUGGGUCCUGACAGACAAGCCUUAACACUACACAAUUUAUCAAGGGGGUCCCCAUAACAACCCCGAACGUGGUAGGAGCACUCAGUUAUGGAAUCAAACAUCAGUAACCGAAACUAAGGCGGCAACAACAGAACAAAUCACCCGACAAAUGGCUAGGCCUUCCGUUAUUUACCAAGUAUAUAGGUGCAUUAAUUAAAUAACAGUUUAAACAUAAUGAUAUCAAAAUACCCAUGUUGUCACAUGGGACAGCUGGCACCUGCAACUAGCAAAGCUAUCCGUUAGGGGUUGAGCAAGCCUACUUAGCCAGACAAUAUUUGCUAGGACAGGGAAGUGUUUGGGGUUCAUGGCAAAGACAUGUAGCAUCUAUAUCAAGUGGUAGGCAGCGAGCAUGUAACGAAGGAAACGUGAUUCUAAGCAUAACAAAGCUAGAAACGGUGUCAAGGACACGGUCAUCUUGCAUGUGGUUUCUUCGGUCUGGAACUGCUUUUGUUCUUCCUGGACGAACUCUCCGGACUCCUCGUACUCGUUUCCGGCCCCGGUAACUACCCAAAAGAAACAACAUCUAAUAAACACCAGCAAAAAAUGAUGCAAUAGACAACAAUAUGCAUGAAUGUACUCCGCCAAACAAGUACAUGAAAACAGCCCUACAUCGAUAAAUCUAUUGCCACCUCAUCACAAGGGGAUUUUUACUGAGAUGCCCAAAACCAGAAAUUAACAACACCAUUGGAUUCACUGGGAUUUUCUACCCCAAAUCCAUAUAUCACACUACCACUUUUGCAUCUAGAAAAACAUCACAAGCAGGAAAAGGAAUCUGACAUAGAAUCAACUACAACAUUAAUUCAAGAACAUGGACUGUUCUUGGGCCAGCCCAAAUUGGCAUAUGCCAGAAUAGGCAAAUUCCUUAUUAGGAAUUAUCCCAAAGAUGGAAUCUAUCACCUCAACAGAAAUAAUAAAGGGGAAAAAUAAAAAUAAAAACACUAAAUCUAACAGCCAUGGCCCACUGGUCAGUGACACAAAACAACAUAUUAACAUUGAAAAACUAAAAGGGAGUGGUGGAGUUAGAACCCACCACCUCUCUAUGCAUCACAGAGGCAAGCACCACUUUGCUAUGCAAAGCUAGUUACUCUAAGAGGGGAGAGAAAAAAAAAACAAAACUUUAAAAGGGCUAGAACCCUGGACCUCUUGCAUUGUGUGCGACUCGGUUGCCACUAGGUUAUACUACGACUACUGACCCAACAGAGCUAACACUUGAGGUAACCUAUAAAUGCAACUACUACAAGAAGGGAAAAACCUCAGGUAAAUAAAAAGGUGGGGGUCUGGGAAUUUAACCCCCGACCUCGUGGUUGUGCACAAGCUAGCAACCAUUACUUAGAGGUUUCCAUUCUCGGGGGAAGCUAGCUUCUACAGCGUAGAGGGACGAUGAUGCUCAAUCCGAACCAAGCUUUGCCUUGGACAUGGCGGUCACGAGAACGAAGCAGGGGCACUGUGGCAGGCGAGGCACGAUAGGGCGGCGAUGCAGCAGUGGAGAGCAGGCUGGCUAACGCGUGCGGGUUGCGGGCGUGCGCUGGAACGGGAGCUCCGUGGGUUCACAGCAAAACAACCGCCGCUUCCUUUACAGAAGAUCUUCUUCAGAGAAGAGAACGGGAGCGCGGCGAGCACAACGAUGUCACGGCUUACAGAAGAUCUACGCUUACGGAUGGCUAGCGACGCGACGGAGAGGGGGAAGGAAGAGGGGGGUCAUACCACCUCACCUAGGGCAUGAAAACGAUGUGGAACGAGGCUUCAGAAGGCGACGGCGAGCUGCUGAAGUCUGGCGCGCAUCCGAACCGGUUCUGCCUGAAGAAGAAGAGGAAGCAGACGACGUCGAGGCGACUCCUUGGGACCCCGCGAGCCGUCGAAGACGGAGAGGAGCACGGGGAGGAUCCCUUCCCGUGCACCAGAGGGCGAGGGAGCGACGGAGAUCAACUCCGGGCCCGAGCUGCUGCUCGGCUGGAGCACGGCGGACGCGGCGACGGCAUGGCGCGAAGCUAUCUUACCUAGCGGCGGCGAGGCGAGGUGGAGGGAGAAAUGGGUCUAGGGAAACUAGGGCAACGUGGGGGACACAACUUAUAGGUGGCUCGGGCUCUCUCCGACCGUCAAAUCGACCGGACGGCUACGUGGCUCCCCUGGAUGGCUGCCGUAUAGAGGAGCACGAAGACUCCACUCAGGGGCUGGCUGGGCUGCGCUGCUAGCUGGGCCUGGGGGAAGAGGGAGCCCAACACACCUCUCUCUCUGGAAAACAGCAAAGGGGGUUCAUGUUUUAAACAAAUGCACAACAAAUAGCUCACAAAGGAAAACAAGAAAUGGUCCUUAGUAAGAAGAAAAUAUCUUUGGUGUACUAAAACCAUGCCACUAAUUAUAAAAAUAAGUAGGCAUUUUUGGGAGAGCAAAUAAUUUCCUUUUCUUUAACAUGGGGCUUUGUUUUUUAAUUAAAACCAAAAUGAAAAGGACCUCAAAUAGAAGAGUGUUGCCGCCUACAAUUAUUUAAAUAGUUUUUCAAAGAUGUUGGACAUUUUUAAUGGCUAAAACAGAAACUUAAAUUCUGCCUCAAGUUAGAAAGGAGAGGGGGGGUUUAUUUGGACCUUGGUGCAACUAUGAUUUUGAAGGUUCCUUGUUGCACCCACACCACACUCCAUAAUAACAUCCAAGACACAUAAAACCACAUCACCAAGCUGGCACAACACCCAGAACAAGACUAAGCAAAAAGGAAGAUGCAAGAUAUGCAUGAGAAGCACAUGAAAUGAUAACCCCAACACCACCUCCAUAGCCCCAAAUGGAAAAGCUUACAAAAGGGGAAAGAAAGCACUUGGGCCGUCACAACUCUCCCACACUAUAAGAGGAUCUCGAUCCGAGAUCUAGGACUGGAAGAACUCUGGAAAUUCGGAACGAAGGUGAUCCUCACGCUCCCAAGUGGCCUCUUUGUCGGAAUGAUGUGACCAUUGCACCUUGAGAAACUUGAAUGACUUAUUGCAGGUCUUGAGCUCAGUCGCCUCAAGAACUGCAACUGGAUGCUCACGGUAGGAUAGGUUGGGUUGAAGGUCGAUAUCCUAAAGAUCAACUGUGCGCUCGGGAGUCUUGAAGCAUCUUCGGAGCUGAGAGACACGAAACACGUCAUGCACAUUUGAGAAGUUUGAAGGGAGCUCUAAUUGAUAAGCGAGGUCGCCUCUCUUGCCAAUAAUUCUGAAAGGCCCAACAAAACAAGGAGCAAGCUCUCCUUUGAUGCCGAAACAUUGCGUGCCCUUCAUGGGAGACACUUUAAGAUAGAGAAAAUCGCCGAGUUGAUAAGCCAUGUCAUGAUGCUUGCUAUCGUAGUAGCUCUUCUGAUGGGACUACGCUGCUUUGAGAUUAUCCCGAAUGACAUGACACAUUUCUUCUGCUUCAGCAAUCAUGUCAUUCCCAAGAAUCUGACGCUCACCAGUCUCUGACCAAUUGAGCGGGGUACGACACUUCCUGCCAUAAAGAAUCUCGAACGGAGCUUUGCCUGAACUCGCCUGAUAGCUGUUGUUAUAUGAAAACUCAGCAAAAGGUAGAUAGUAUUCCCACUUCAUGCCAAAGGAAAUGACACAGGCUCUUAGCAUAUCCUCGAGGACCUGAUUGACUCUCUCAACUUGCCCACUAGUCUGAGGACGGAAGGUUGUACUGAAUCAAAUCUUAGUACCCAUCGCAGACUAAAAUGAAUCCCAAAACUUGGAAGUAAAGAUGCUUCCUCGAUCCUAAGAAAUUAGCAUUGGAACACCAUGCAAUGAGACUACCCUUGACGUAUACAGCUCCGCAGGCUGAGCUGCCAAGAUAGACCCCUUGACCGGAAGGAAAUGAGCGACUUUGCUCAACUUGUCGAUGACGACAAAGAUGGCAUCGUUACCUUUCUUGGACUUCGGAAACCCGGUGACGAAAUCCAUCUCAACAUGGUCGAAUUUCCACUCGGGAAUGGGCAAGGGAUGCAAAAGACCUGAUGGACGUUGAUGCUCUGCUUUCACUCUUCGACAUACAUAACAUUCAUUUACGAACUGAGGAAUCUCACGCUUCAUGCGAGUCCACCAGAAGGUCUGUUUCAGAUCCUGAUACAUCUUGGAACUUCCUGUAUGUAUCGAGAGAAGAGAGUUAUGAGCUUCUUCCAUGAUAACCUUUCUGAGAUCCCCUUUCGGAACGACAAGGCGAUCCUUAAAGAACAAUGUAUCUCUGGCAUCCACACCGAAGCACUUAUAUUUGGGAACUCCCUUUGCCAAGCCAAUCUUAACUUUCUUCACCAUAGCAUCAAGAAGUUGAGCUUGUCGGACUUGGUCUUCCAAGGUCGGAGAAAUCUGAAGAUUAGCAAGAAAUCCCUGAGGUACUAACUGAAGGUUGAGCUUUCUAAAAGAAUCACAAAGAUCAGGGUGGAGAGGCUUCAGAAUAAGACUGUUGUAGUAAGCCUUUCUGCUCAAAGCAUCUGCAACGACAUUAGCUUUGCCUGGAGUGUACUCAAGGCUCGGAUUAAAAUCUUGGAGCAUUUCCACCCAACGAGUUUGCCGAAGAUUAAGGUUAGGCUGGGUGAAGAUGUAUUUAAGACUCUUGUGAUCGGUGAACACUUCAACCUUUCUUUCCAACAAGAGGUGUCUCCAAGUCAUCAGAGCAUGUACCACUGCCGCCAACUCAAGAUCAUGAGUGGGGUAAUUCUUCUCUCUUGGCUUCAACUGUCUCGAGGUAUAAGCUACCACUUUCUUUUCUUGCAUCUGAACUGCACCAAGACCUUGAAGAGAGGCAUCGCAGAACACUUGUUAAGGUUUGGAAUCAUGAGGAGGAACCAAGACUGGAGUAGAAGUGAGCUUCUCUUUGAGUGUGUUGAAAGCCAACUGACACUCUGGAGACCAGACAUACUUCACACCCUUCUGAAGAAGACUUGAGAGAGGCUUAGCAAUCUUGGAGAAAUUCUCAACGAAUCUUCUGCAAUAGCUUGCAAGCCUGAGAAAGCUUCGAAGUUGCUUCACAUUCUGCGGAGGUUCCCACUCAACAAUGGCCUGCACCUUCAAUGGAUCAACUUUGAUGCCCUCGGCAGAGAUGAUGUUCCGAAGGUACACAACUUCCUUCAACCAGAACUCACAUUUGGAAAACUUAGCAUAAAACUUAUGCUCUCUUAGCUUAUCAAGCACAAGCCUGAGAUGUUCCUCAUGCUCUUCCUCAGUUUUCGAAAAGACCAUAAUAUCAUCAAGGUACAACAAGACGAAUUCAUUCUUGAAUGGGAAGAAGAUAUAAUUCAUCAUGCGAUAGAAGGUCGGUGGAGCAUUGGCCAGACCGAAAGACAUCACCGUGUACUCAUACGAGCCAAAGCUUGUUCUGAAAGUAGUCAUCGAAAUGUCCUCUUCGCGAAUGCGAAUCUGAUGAUAACCCAUCCUGAGAUCAAGCUUCGAGAAGAUCUUAGCCCCUUUCAAUUGGUCAAACAGCUCAUUGAUGUCGGGAAGUGGAUACUUGUUUUUUGAUCAUCUUCUUAUUCAAUGGAUGGUAAUCGACACAGAGUCGUUCCGUGCCAUCCUUCUUCUUGACGAAAAGCACUGCACAACCCCAAGGGGAUGAGCUUGGUCUGAUCAGACCCAGCCGCUAUUGCUCAUCAAGUUGUUUCUUCAGCUGCUUCAGCUCUUCUGGACCUAGUUUGUACGGCCGCUUACACACAGGCUCAGUACCAGGUUCAAGUUCAGUUACGAACUCCACUGCUCGGUGCGGAGGCAUUCCUGGCAGUUCUUCUGGAAAAACAUCUUCAUACUCUCAGACCACCGGGACUUUAGAAAUUGGAGAGAUCUCACUCUUCUCAUUCAAGGAAAACAGACGGACCGUGUCAUCACGCUCUGCGAAGAUAAUCACGUCCUCUAGAGAAUGAGUUAGCUUCACUUCUUUAGCUUCACAAUCAAUAGACGCCUUGUUCAUAGCCAACCAAUCCAUACCCAGGAUCAAAUCAAUAUCAGAGUUGCCAAGGACAAUAGGAGAAGCCAGAAUGGCAUAAUUACCCAUCUUGACAACGACAUCAGGACCUAUGAAGCGAGAAUUCAUUUGCAACCCCGGUGAAACCACAGUUAAGGAUCUAGGAAACUCUUCACAACACAGCUCAUGCUUUGCAACAAAAGGCCUUGAAAUGAAUGAAUGCGAUGCACCAGAAUCAAAUAAAACCUUUGCAGGAAAAUCAUUAACUAGGAGAUUACCCAUAAUCACGUUUGUGGAGUUCUCCGCUUCAGCUGCAUUCACCAUAUUCACUCUUGCAUACUUGGGAUUGAACUUCACCAUAGCAUUGCUUGGAGGCUUCCCUAGAGGAGGGGGUGGAAGACGCACCUGAGAGGUACACUUGUUGGAGUAGUGACCCUUCUGCCCACACUUGUGAAAAGUAACAUCUGACAGCGGACGGAACUGCACCUCAGGAUUCCCUUGCUUCUGCUGCUGAAACCUCUCCUGGAAAGGUGGGAUGAGUGGGUGGGAAGAACCACGACCACCUAACUGCUUGAACUGCUGAGUCUGCCGAGGAGGAGGAGACAUCCAAUAUUUCUGUUGCUUCUGGACCACCUGAGUUGAGGGCGAUGAGCUGGAAUCUCUGAAAUGCUUCCUCGAAUUCUCCACUCUGAGCAAAGCUGCCUCAGCCCUGAGAGCCAAGUUAUAGAACUUAUCAAACUCAUCGGGAUCGUGCAAGGCAAGGGCCAGCUGCAAGUCCUCUCCCAGACCACCUCUGAACUGAUAGAUCUUGCUCUUCUGAUCUGGAACUUCUCACACAUCUCUUCCACAAAGUUAGUUGGAAUAUAGUGAGACCUGAAAUCUCUGUAGAAAUCGUCCCAACUGAUCAUUCUACCUCCCGUGGAGUCCUUCAACUGCUGCCACCAAACUACUGCCUGCCCCUUGAGAUGAAAUGUUGCAAACUUGACGAAGUCCCCUGAAUGGACAUUGCUGCACUCAAAGUGUUUGACCAUGUCCCGAAUCUAGUCCUCAGUGUCGAACGGCUGGUCACAAGACGUGAAGGACCUCGGCUAGUUCACCAGGAAUUGAUUCAGAGAUGCAAACUGAUGAGCACCAGGGUUGAAAUUGCCCUGCUGCUGAUUGCUCCUCUCUUCCAACAGCUGAAUUAACAUCUGGGUGUUAGAAUUUGUUGCAGCCAUCACCGCUUGCCAAGCCUCUGCAGGAGGUGGUGGCGGAGCAUCAUCAUCAUCGCGACCCGGAUUCUGGCGAGUUGGUGGAGACAUCCUGAAGACGGACAACGCAUUAGGCCGGAGAUUAACAUUCAAGGUAAAGCUGAAUCAAUAGACAUAAAUAUCCGAACAAGAAUACUUAGCAAUUGCAUUCGAACAAUAAUUAGUAAGAAUGCUUCCUCAAAGUGACUACCGACAACAUCUGAUUAAAGGCCACUCGAAAACCAAGUAUGAGCUAGGAUUGCUCGGAACAAACGUAUGACAGAGAUUCCAUUCGAUAUCUUCGUGGAUAUGAUCGCACGGGCUCGAAUUUACUGUAGCCAUCCUGUGCAAGGCAGUGCACACGACUUACGAAGCGUCCCCGAGUUGUAGCAAGCUACAAGGACUCUUUAAGACACAACGAGAACCGCUGUAAGACGACCUGAACAAGCGUACCCACUGAAUGUCGAAUCCCAUCCUCACAUCAUGCAUCUGUAGGAAGAUUGCCCUAUAAGUCACUACUUGAUAUCCCACCUAUGAAUUCCCAAAAUAUCUGUCAUGCAAUCUGGUCCACGGAUACAAGGAGUAAUAUGUCACACAACUCCUAUAUUAACCCGUCCAGUGUAUCACAUCCAUCAACACAUAACCAGAAUCUCGAACUUCAUCUAACACAGACCCUCGUAAUCACAACGAUACAAAGUGUGGCGUUACAUCCGGAACUCUCUGCGCCAGUACUGGGGAAGCCGGACUCCUCUCGUCACUACUAGUAUUGAAGCAAUUACGAACAUCCUCCGUCCUGAGAUACCAAGAAGUCUGAAUGAUGGCGAUGUGCACAAGAAUCCCCUGGAGCUCAACUCCCCGGCAGAAAUCAAGUCAGACAGGAGGCACCAAGACAGGACUCCGUCACAUCGAUAUCAUAUAGAUUUCAAAAUAUCCGUGUGAUCCUAAAUUUUUUUUGAGCGAGAAGAAGAGUAGAAUUAAGAUUUCCUAAGUUGAUAACCUUACCAGAGAAAAGAAGAGGAGAAAAAAGAAACCUACUCUCCAAUAUAACUAAGACUCAAAUAGUUUUUACUAGACUCGACUCGGCCAAGUUCGAUCACACAAAGGCUCUUAUGGUCGCAAGGCUCUGAUUACCAACUUGUAACGACUAAGAUGCGACCCUUUCCUAUUUUGGGGGCGAGGCCUCAAAAGGGAAAGGGGCGCAUCUAAACGUUUUGCAAGCGAGAUAAUCAUAACAUUACAUAACUGAAAGAGUGACAAGUAGGGCAUACACUUGCCAUCUGAUAAGAGUAUAUCAUUAAGCUUACAAACACACAUUAUUCAGAGCAUAGUUUAGUACCGCUACGGACAACAUGAAACAAGUAAAACUAUGACAUCCCGCAUGCUAGCCCCACGAUCACGACCACGGCCUCAGUCCUCCGGAUAGUUCACGUACAGUCGACCAGAGUCCUCACCGAACUACCACUUCAGCUGGCAGUCAUCAGGAUCUCCUGCGUCGGGCGUACCUGUACCUGUUGGUGUUUGUAGUAAUCUGUGAGCCACAGGGACUCAUCAAUCGAAUGACCUUGGUAUCGAAUCUAGCCAAGUUAUUGGGUGAGGAAGGAUAGUGAAUGGGUUUGCAGCAACCUAAGCAUAUAUGGUGGCUACCUUACGAUGAUCAGAGUAAUCAUAUGCUGGUCUACGCGAGCGAUCGAAGACUAGGUUGAUCACUAAGUGAUCCUGAACACCUACUUACGUCAGGCAUAACCCCAGCGUGUUCUCGAUGAGAGAACGAUCUCUGAAAGAGACAAUCACGGUUACGCACAUAGUUGGCAGUUUUAUUAGAGUUACUUCAAGUUGUCUAGAACCGGAUGUUAACAAAAUAUCCAUAUUUGCCAAAAGAUUUAACCCUGUAGGGGUGCUCCAACUAGUCCAUCACAAACUGCCACAGGCCGCAAAGUAAUCCUCUAUCACGAAACUUGUGAUCUCGUCGGAUUCCUUAGAGGAAAACCUCAACUUUGAGGAGACCCAAAGUUUCACCGGAAUCCCAUUGCGCAAGAUAUAUCGCUAAGGUAAGACAGAUCUGGGAAGACCUCCCGACGUGUCGACGAACCCGAUAAGAGCCGCGUAUCUCGUUCUCAGGACACGACGGAUUGUCCAAACUUCCGGUAGGCCAGUCACAGAGUUGCCCCUGGUAGCCACCGACGGUUGAUAGGUUGGACCAACACUCAUGAGGAGCACUUGCCCGGGUUGUUGAUUAAUUCCUCGGGGUAGCUAUUCCCUAUGCAAAUUAUUAUUAGGUUAUUAGAAGAUUAAAACCAAUGUUGGGUCCUACCAGACAAGCCUUAACACUACAUGAUUUAUCAAGGGGGUCCCCAUAACAACCCCGAACAUGUUAGGAGCGCUCAGUUAUGGAAUCAAACAUCGGUAACCAAAAGUAAGGCGACAACAACGGAACAAAUCACCCGACAAAAGGCUAGGACUUUUGUUAUUUACCAAGUAUAUAUGUGCAUUAAUUAAAUAGCAGUUUAAAUAUAAUGAUAUCAAAAUACCCAUGUUGUCACAUGGGAUAGCUGGCACCUGCAACUAGCAAAGCUAUCGGUUAGGGGUUGAGCAAGCCUACUUAGCCAGACAAUAUUUGCUAGGACAGGGAAGUGUUUGGGGUUCAUGGCAAAGAGAGGUAGCAUUUAUAUCAAGUGGUAGGCAGUGAGCAUGUAACAAAGGAAACGUGAUUCUAAGAAUGACAAAGCUACAAACGGUAUCAAGGUCACGGUCAUCUUGCCUGUGGUUUCUUCAGACUGGAACUGCUCUUGUUCUUCCUGCACGAACUCUCCGGACUCCUCGUACUCGUUUCCGGCCCCGGUAACUACCCAAAAGAAACAACAUCUAAUAAACACCAGCAACAAAUGAUGCAACAGACAACAAUAUGCAUGAAUGCACUCCGCCAAACAAGUACAUGAAAAUAGCCCUACAUCAUAAAUCUAUUGCCACCUCACCACAAGGGGAUUUUUACUGAGAUGCCCAAAACCAGAAAUGAACAACACCAUUGGAUUCACUGGUAUUUUCUAUCCCAAAUCCAUAUAUCACACUGCCACUUUUGCAUCUAGAAAAACAUCACAAACAGGGAAAGGAAUCUGACAUAGAAUCAACUACAACAUUAAUUCAAGAAGAGGGACUGUUCUUGGGCCAACCCAAAUUGGCAUAUGCCAGAAUAGGCAAAUUCCUUAUUAAGAAUUAUUCCAAAGAUGAAAUCUAUCACCUCAACAGAAGUAAUAAAGGGAAAAAAUUAAAAAUAAAAACACUAAAUCUAAGAGCCAGGGCCCACUAGUGAGUGACACAAAACAACAUAUUAACAGAGAAAAACUAAAAGGAAGUGGAGGAGUUCGUACCCACCACCUCUGUGUGCAUCACAGAGGCAAGCACCACUUUGCUAUGCANNNNNNNNNNNNNNNNNNNNNNNNNNNNNNNNNNNNNNNNNNNNNNNNNNNNNNNNNNNNNNNNNNNNNNNNNNNNNNNNNNNNNNNNNNNNNNNNNNNNNNNNNNNNNNNNNNNNNNNNNNNNNNNNNNNNNNNNNNNNNNNNNNNNNNNNNNNNNNNNNNNNNNNNNNNNNNNNNNNNNNNNNNNNNNNNNNNNNNNNNNNNNNNNNNNNNNNNNNNNNNNNNNNNNNNNNNNNNNNNNNNNNNNNNNNNNNNNNNNNNNNNNNNNNNNNNNNNNNNNNNNNNNNNNNNNNNNNNNNNNNNNCUCUACAGAGAGAGAAAAAACCCAAACUUCAAAAGGGCUCGAACCGUGGACCUCUUACACUGUGCGCGACUUGGUUGCCACUAGGCUAUGCUGCGACUACUGACCCAACACAGCUAACAACACAGGUAACCUACAACUGCAACUACUACAACAAGGAGAAAAAAUCAGGUAAAUAAAAGGUGCGGCGCUGGGAUUUGAUCCCCCGACCUCGUGGUUGUGCAGAAGCGGCGUGGUUCUUCUACCUCCAUCCACCGGAGGAGAUGUUGUCGCCGGCGAGCGGAAUGGCGAUGACGGCGGCCAAGAUUGCCGGCGGGGGUACGGAUUCCUUAGAGGUUUCCAUUCCCGGGGGAAGCUAGCUUCUACGACGCAGAGGGGCGACGAUGCUCAAGCUGAACCAAGCUUUGCCUUGGACAUGGCGGUCACGAGAAGGAAACAGGGGCGCAACGGUAGGCGAGGCACGACGGGGCGGCGAUGCAGCAGCGGCGAGCAAGCUGGCUAACGCGUGCGGGUUGCGGGCGUGCGCUGGAACGGGAGCUCCGCGGGUUCACAGCAAAACAACCGCAACUUUCUUUACAGAAGAUCUUCUUCAGAGAAGAUAAUGGGAGCACGGCGAGCACGAUGAUGUCACGGCCGGAUCUACAAUUACGAAUGGCUAGCGACGCGACGGAGAGGGUGAAGGAAGAGGGGGAUCAUACCACGUCACCUAGGGCAACACGGGGGACACAACUUAUAGGUGGCUCGGGCUCUCUCCGGCUGUCAAAUCGACCGGAGGGCUACGUGGCUCCCGUGGAUGGCUGCCGUACAGAGGAGCACGAAGACUCCACUCAGGGGUUGGCUGGGUUGCGCUGCUAGCUGGGCCUGGGGGAAGAGGGAGCCCAGCACACCUCUCUCUCUGGAAAACAACAAAGGGGGUUCAUGUUUUAAACAAAUGCACAACAAAUAGCUCACACAAGAAAACAGGAAAUGGUCUUUAGUAAGAAGAAAAUAUCUUUGGUCUACUAAAACCAUGCCACUAAUUAUAAAAAUAAGUAGGCAUUUUUGGGAGAGCAGAAUAAUUCCUUUUCUUUAACAUGGGGCUCUGUUUUUUAAUUAAAACCAAAAUGAAAAGGACGUCAAAUAGAAGAGUGUUGCCACCUACAAUUAUUUAAAUAGUUUUUCAAAGAUGUUGGACAUUUUUAAUGGCCAAAACAGAAACUUAAAUUCUGCCUCAUGUUAGAAAGGAGAGGGGGGGAGGGGGUUUAUUUGGACCUUGGUGCAACUAAGAUUUUGAAGGUUCCUUGUUGCACCCACACCACACUCCAUAAUAACAUCCAAGACAUAUACAACCACAUCACCAAGGUGACACAACACCCAGAACAAGACUAAGCAAAAAGGAAGAUGCAAGAUAUGCAUGAGAAGCACAUGAAAUGAUAACCACAACACCUCCUCCAUAACAUAGCUUCAACAUGGUUGCCCCAAAUGGAAAAGCUUACAAAAGGGGAAAGAAAGCACUUGGGCUGUUACAUUAUGCAAGCGCUAACUUAGUCAAACAAUGUUUGCUAGGAGGUGAAGGGUUAGAGGUUUCAUGGCCAUGUUUGGAGGCUUAUAUAUCAGGUGGUAGGCAGCGGUGAAUAACGAUGGAAACGAUUCAACUAGACAUAACAAAGCUAGAAACGGUCUCAAGGUCACGAUCAUCUUGCCUGUGAGAUCUUUAGACUGGAACUGCUCUUGAUCUUCUAAACGUACUCAACAUAAUCCUCAAACUCGUUAUCAGCACCCGAUGCUACCCCUAAUAAAUAAACAACCAAUAAACACCAGCAAGUUAUAAUGCAAUGAUACGUCUCCAUCGUAUCUAUAAUUUUUGAUUGUUUCAUGCCAAUAUACAACUUUCAUAUACUUUUGGCAACUUUUUAUACUAUUUUUGGGACGAACAUAUUGAUCGAGUGCCCAAUGCCACUUCUUGUUUGUUGCAUGUUUUUUGUUUCAAAGAUUAUCCAUACCAAACGAAGUCCAACUCAAUAAAAAACCUACGGGGAUUUGUUUUGGAAUAUUUAUGAUUUUUUGGAAGAAGAAUCAACGCAAAACGAUGCCCGAGGGGGUCACAAGCCCCCUAGCCGCGACCUGGGGGUGGGACCGCGCCUGGCAUGCUUGUGACCAAUCCCUAAGGCGGUUGGGGCCCUUGUUUCUUCACAAGAAAGAUAAUAUCCGGAAGAAAAUCUUGUUAAAAUUUCAGCCCAAUCCGGAGUUAUGGAUCUCCGGGAGUUUAAGAAACGGUGAAAGGCUCCCGCCCCAAUAAUAUGAAGCAGAAACAGAGAGAGAUCCAAUCUCGGAGGGGCUCUCGCCCCUCCGCCGCCAUGGAGACCAUGUACCAGAGGGGAAACCCUUCUCCCAUCUAGGGAGGAGGUCAAGGAAGAAGAAUAAGAAGGGGGGCUCUCUCCCCCUCUCUCCCGGCGGCACCGGAACACCGCCCGAGACAUCAUCGUGUGACGGCGAUCUACACCAACACCUCCGCCAUAUUCACCAACACCUCCAUCACCUUCCCCCAUCUACAUUCAGCGGUCCACUCUCCCGCAACCCGCUGUACCCUCUAUUUUAACAUGGUGCUUUAUGCUUCAUAUUAUUAUCCAAUGAUGUGUGGCCAUCCUAUGAUGUCUGAGUAGAUUUUCGUUGUCCUAUCGGUGAUUGAUGAAUUGCUAUGAUUGGUUUAAUUUGCUUGUGGUUAUGUUUCUAUCCUUUGGUGGCCAUCAUAUGAGCGCGCGCAUGGAUCAUACCAUAGGUUUAGUAGUAUGUUAAUAGGACUAUGUAUUGGAGGGCAAGGGUGACAGAAGCUUCAGCCUAGCAUAGAAAUUGAUGCAUAUGGGAUUGAAGGGGGACCAAUAUAUCUUAUUGCUAUGGUUGAGUUUUACCUUAAUGAAUGUUAGUAGUUGUGGAUGCUUGCUAAUAGUUUCAAUCAUAAGUGCAUAGAAUUCCAAGUAAGGGAUGACAUGCUAGCAGUGGCCUCUCCCACAUAAAACUUGCUAUCAGUCUAGUAACGUAGUCAAUUGCUUAGGGACAAUUCUGCAACUCCUACCACCACUUUUCCACAAUCGUUAGACUAACGUAAUUGUUUCAUUAUCUAGCUGCCCCUAGUUCUUAUUUACGUGUUCUUUCUUUUCUUGCAAGCCUAUCCUAUCACUCCUACAAAGUACUUCUAGUUUCAUACUUGUUCUAGGUAAAGCGAACGUAAAGUGUGCGUAGAGUUGUAUUGGUGGUCGAUAGAACUUGAGGGAAUAUUUGUCCAACCUUUAGUUCCUCGUUGGGUUCGACACUCUUACUUAUCGAGAAAGGCUACAAUUGAUCCCCUAUACUUGUGGGUUAUCAAGACCUUUUUCUGGCGCCGUUGCCGGGGAAGCAAUAGCGUGGGGUGAAUAUUCUCGUGUGUGCUUGUUUGCUUUAUCACUUAGUAGAUUUAUUUGCUGUUCUAAGUUGUUCUCUAUCUUUAGUUAUGGAUAUGGAACACGAAAUACCAAAAAAAUUAGGUGUACUUGCUACUCAUGGAGAUGGGGAACCUCCUAAAACCCUCGAUGCUCGUUAUGUGGAAAAUAUUAUGAACUUCUUUUAUAAUCCUGAGAAAACCCCAUUAAAUUAUAUAAUGGGAUACACGUUGGAUCAACGUGAAUACUUUAGGGAUUAUCGCUUGACUCAAAAAGGGAAACUAUUAUGGGAUCAAAUUCAUAUGUUGAAAUGGUAUGCUUGGGAGCUAUGCUCGAGAUAUGAUAUUACUUGUUGCUCUAGGAUGAAGGCUAAACACCUUCCCUUUUCUUGCAAAUUUAAUGCUAAUGGAACCUUGGCUUCUUAUGCUAAUGGUUUAUAUGAUUACUAUGAUGUGGAACAAAUAGAAGAGUUUGUUGCUUUUAUGGGUGCUUAUGAAAUUGAAGCUCUGUUUAAAGGGUGUGAUGAUAAUGAUGAUGCUGCUUACCGAUCUGAAAAUUUGGUUAUGCUUCGUUAUUGUUAUACUAAUUAUGAAUAUAAUGCCCAUAUUGAUCGAUUUAUGGAGAAAUUCUACGCUGCCCAAGAAGAGACUAAUAUUUUGCAGGAAACUAUGGAAGAAGAAAAUGCUGAAACUAUGAGCUCAUUAGAUGAAAAAGAUGACGAGGAGAGCGAAGAACAAAAGGAGGAAGAGCGGACUAGCUACCAGUGCCCACCUUAUAAUGAGAGUAAUUCUUCAACUCAUACAUUGUUUAAUUUCUCUUCGUUCUUACUGAAGGAUGAAUGCUACGUUGAUUGCUAUGAUCCCUUGGAUUUGUUUGAAAUAUCCUUUUUUGAUGAACUUGAUGCUUGCUAUGCUUGUGGCCAUGAUGCCAAUAUGAAUGAUGCUUAUGUAGAUGAACUUGCUAUAGUUCCUUAUGUUAAACAUGAAAUUGUUGCUAUCGCACCCACUUAUGAUAGUCCUAUUAUCUUUUUGAACUCUCCCAACUACACUAUAUCGGAGAAGUUUGCUCUUAUUAGGGAUUAAAUAGAUGGGUUGACUUCUACUAUUACACAUGAUGAUUUUGAUGAAUAUAAUAUGCAUGUGCUUGCUGCUCCUACUUGCAGUUAUUAUGAGAGAGGAACUACAUCUCCACCUCUCUAUGUUUCCAAUACGAUAAAAUUGCAAGAAAGUGCUUAUGCUAUGUAUUGGCAUUUACUUGAUGUGCAUGAAUUGUUCUUUUAUGACAUGCCAAUGCAUAGGAAGAGAGUUAGACUUCGUCAUUGCAUGAUAUAUGUUACCUUGUGCUCACUACUAAAUUACAAAUCAUUGUUAAUUAAAAUUGGCUUUGAUAUACCUUGGGAUCCGGGUGGAUCCAUUACUUGAGCACUUUAUGCCUAACUUAAUGGCUUUAAAGAAAGCUCUACCUGGGAGACAACCCGGAAGUUUUAGAGAGUCAUUUAUUUCUGUUGAGUGCUUUUAUAUAGUUUAUAAACAAAAAAAUAUAGAGGGGAACUUAAAACUUUUUCAAAAAGAGAAGCGAUUGAAAGGUGAUGCAUUGCGGAAGUGAGGGUCGACCUUGAACACUUGUGUUCAUGCUCAUGGAAACAAUGGAGAAUUUUUCAUGGAAGUUUCUCGAAAAAAUAAUUAUCCCCUUUUACAACUCCAUUGUAUUAUAAAAAUAAUGUGCCAAGUAAAGCCUUUAUGAUUAGUUUGGGUGAUAGUUAUUUGAUCAUGCUGAAUAAAGACAGAAACUUUGUGCUCACGAAAUUAUUUUUAGUGCUUAUCCAUAAAGAGAUUUUGAGUUGAUUCUUUUUGCUUAUGAUUGAUAUGCAAAUUGCCCUAAUUUUCAUAAUUUUUCAUAAUUUUUGGAGAAUCAGAAGUAUGGUAUAAGUUCAAAUUACUACAGACUGUUCUGUUUUUUAAAGAUUCUGUUUUCUAUGCAUUGUUCUCUUAUUUUGAUGAAUCUAUGGGUAGUAUCGGGGGGUACGAACCAUGGUGAAAUUGGAUUACAGUAGAUAUAAUGCUAAUAUGAAUUUGGAAUGAGUUCACAACGGUUCUUAAAGUGGUGAUUUACUUUAUUAUAUUAACGGAUCUCAUGAAGGUUUCGUUGAGUUUUGUGUGAUUGAAGUUUUCAAGUUUUGGGUGAGACCACGAUGGAUGAAGGAAUAAGGAGAGGCAAGAGACUAAGCGUGGGGAUGCCCGAGGCACCCCAAGGUAAUAUUCAAGGAAGACUCAAGCGUCUAAGCUUGGGGAUGCCCCGGAAGGCAUCCCCUCUUUCGUCUACAAUCUAUCGGUAAUUUUACUCGGAGCUAUAUUUUUAUUUGUCACAUGAUAUGUGCAAAUGCUUGGAGUGCCUUUUGUGUUUAUUCUUCCUUUUUCUUUUAUGCACCAUGCUGGUAUGAGAUAAUCCUUGGUGGCUUUAUAUAAUGCUUCAUGUGCUUCACUUAUAUCAUUUGAGGUUUGGAUUGCCUGUUUCCCUACACAUAGAAAACCGCCAUUUGUAGAAUGCUCUUUUGCUUCACUUAUAUUUUUUAGAGCGGGGCAUAUCUUUUGUAGAAAGAAUUAAACUCUCAUGCUUCACUUAUACCUAUUUAGGGAGUUAACAGGAGUUGGUCAUUCACAUGGUUAGUCAUAAAAUCGUACAUAAAACUUGUAGAUCACUGAAUAUGAUAUGUUUGAUUCCUUGCAAUAGUUUUACGACAUAAAGAUGUGAUAUUAGAGUCAUGCUAGUGAGUAAUUGUGUAUUCGUAGAAAUACUUGUGUUAAGGUUUGUGAUUCCCGUAGCAUGCACGUAUGCUGAACUGUUAUGUGACGAAGUCGGAGCAUGAUUUAUUUAUUGAUUGUCAUCCUUUGUGUGGAAGUCGGGAUCGCGCGAUGGUUAACUCCUACCAACCCUUCCCCUAGGAGCAUGCGUGUAGUACCUUGUUUCGAUGACUAAUAGACUUUUGCAAUAAGUAUGUGAGUUCUUUAUUACUAAUGUUGAGUCCAUGGAUUAUACGCACUCUCACCCUUCCACCAUUGCUAGCCUCUCUAGUACCGCGCAACUUCCGCUGGUGCAUUACACCCACCAUCUACCCUUCCUCAAAACAACCACCAUACCUACCUAUUAUGGCAUUUCCAUAGCCAUUCCGAGAUAUAUUGCCAUGCAACUUCCAUCGCUCCGUUUAUUAUGACACGCACCAUCAUUGUCAUAUUGCUUUGCAUGAUCGUAAGAUAGCUAGCAUGAUGUUUUCAUGGCUUUUCUGUUUUUUAUGUCAUUGCUACGCUAGAUCAUUGCACAUCCCGGUACACCGCCGGAGGCAUUCAUAUAGAGUCAUAUUUUGUUCUAAAUAUCGAGUUGUAAGUAAACAAAAUGUGAUGAUCAUCAUUAUUAGAGUAUUGUCCCAUGUGAGGAAGUAAUAAAAGAGUCCAAUGAAGCCCAAAUAAAAAAAGAGGCCAAAGAAGCCCACCAAAAAAAAGAGAAAAAAUAAAUAAAAAAAUGAGAGAAAAGAGAGAAGGGACAAUGCUACUAUCCUUUACCACACUUGUGCUUCAAAGUAGCACCAUGAUCUUCAUGACACAGAGUCUCAUAUAUUUUCACUUUCAUAUACUAGUGGGAAUUUCAUUAUAAAACUUGGCUUGUAUAUUCCAAUGAUGGGCUUCCUCAAAUUGCCCUAGGUCUUCGUGAGCAAGAAAGUUGGAUGCACACCCACUUAGUUUCUUUUUGAGCUUUCAUACACUUAUAGCUCUAGUGCAUCUGUUGCAUAGCAAUCCCUACUCACUCACAUUGAUAUCUAUUGAUGGGCAUCUCCAUAGCCCGUUGAUACACCUAGUUGAUGUGAGACUAUCUCCUCCUUUUUGUCUUCUCCACAACCACCAUAUUCUAUUCCACCUAUAGUGCUAUGUCCAUGGCUCACGUCAUGUAUUGCGUGAAAGUUGAAAAGUUUGAGAACACUAAAGUAUGAAACAAUUGCUUGGCUAAAACCGGGGUUGUGCAUGAUUUAAAUACGUUGUGUGGGUAAGAUGGAGCAUAGCCAGACUAUAUGAUUUUGUAGGGGUAACUUUCUUUGGCCAUGAUAUUUUGAGAAGACAUGAUUGCUUUGUUAGUAUGCUUGAAAUAUUAUUAUUUUUAUGUCAAAUGAUAGACUAUUGUUUCGAAUCACUCGUGUUCUAGUAUUCAUGCCAUGAUUGGAUUAUAUGAUCAAGAUUAUGCUAGGUAGCAUUCCACAUCAAAAAUUAUCUUUUUUAUCAUUUACAUACUCGAGGACGAGCAGGAAUUAAGCUUGGAGAUGCUGAUACGUCUCGAUCGUAUCUAUAAUUUUUGAUUGUUUCAUGCCAAUAUUCUACAACUUUCAUAUACUUUUGGCAACUUUUUAUACUAUUUUUGGGACUAACAUAUUGAUCCAGUGCCGAGUGCCAGCUCCUGUUUGUUGCAUGUUUUUUCUUUCUCAGAUUAUCCAUACCAAACGAAGUCCAAACGAAAUAAAAACCUACGGGGAUUUUUUGAAAUAUUUAUGAUUUUUGGGAAGAAGAAUCAACACGAAACGAUGCCCGAGGGGGUCACAAGCCCCCUAGACGUGGCCUGGGGGUGGGGCCGCGCCUGGCAGGCUUCUGACCAAUCCCUAAGGCGGUUGGGGCCCUUCUUUUGCCGCAAGAAAGAUAAUAUCUGGAACAAAAUUGUGUUAACAUUUCAUCCCAAUCGGAUUUACGGAUCUCCGGGAAUUUAAGAAACGGUGAAAGGUAGAAUCUGGGAGCGCAGAAACAGAAGGACACACAGAGAGAGAUCCAAUCUCGGAGGGGCUCUCGCCCCUCCACCCCAAUGGAGACCAUUGACCAGAGGGGAAACCCUUCUCCCAUCUAGGGAGGAGGUCAAGGAAUAAUAAGAAGAAGGGGGAUCUCUCUCCCCCUCUCUCCCGGCGGCGCCGGAACGCCGCCCGGGACAUCAUCGUGUGACGGCGAUCUACACCAACACCUCCGUCAUAUUCACCAACACCUCCAUCACCUUCCCUCAUCUAUAUUCAGCGGUCCACUCUCCCGCAACCCGCUGUACCCUCUACUUGAACAUGGUGCUUUAUGAUUCAUAUUAUUAUCCAAUGAUGUGUUGCCAUCCUAUGAUGUAUGAGUAGAUUUUCGUUGUCCUAUCGGUGAUUGAUGAAUUGCUAUGAUUAGUUUAAUUUUCUUGUGGUUAUGUUGCUGUCCUUUGGUGCCCAUCAUAUGAGCGCGUGCAUGGAUCACACCAUAGGGUUAGUAGUAUGUUAAUAGGACUAUGUAUUGGAGGGCAAGGGUGACAGAAGCUUCACCCUAGCAUAGAAAUUGAUACAUAUGGGAUUGAAGGGGGACCAAUAUAUCUUAUUGCUAUGGUUGGGUUUUACCUUAAUGAACGUUAGUAGUUGCGGAUGCUUGCUAAUAGUUCCAAUGAUAAGUGCAUAGAAUUCCAAGUAAGGGAUGACAUGCUAGCAGUGGCCUCUCCCACAUAAAACUUGCUAUUGGUCUAGUAACGUAGUCAAUUGCUUAGAGACAAUUCCGCAACUCCUACCACCAAUUUUCCACACUCGUUAGACUAACGUAAUUGUUUCUUUAUCUAGCUUCCCCUAGUUCUUAUUUACGUGUUUUUUCUUUUCUUGCAAGCCUAUCCUAUCACUCCUACAAAGUACUUCUAGUAUCAUACUUGUUCUAGGUAAAGCGAACGUAAAGUGUGCGUAGAGUUGUAUCGGUGGUCGAUAGAACUUGAGGGAAUAUUUCUCCUACCUUUAGCUCCUCGUUGGGUUCGACACUCUUACUUAUCGAGAAAGGCUACAAUUGAUCCCCUAUAGUUGUGGGUUAUCAUGCACCAAACAAUAUGAUGCAUAUGUGGCACAAACUUGAAAGUUGCAUAGAAAUAAUCCUACUCAACUCACAAAAUGCCACCUCACCACAAUUUGGCACUUUUGCAACAUUGCUCGAAAGUGAAAUCCAAUGCGAGCAUUGGAUUCCUUGGGUUCUUCUACCCCCAAAUCAUAUAUCACACCACUAUACUUGCAUGCAUAAAACUACCACAAAACAGAAAAUAAAAACUAGUCUAAAUUCUAAAUCACUUAUAUGUCAAAUUAGUGACUGAUUUGGCAUAUGCCAGAUUUGGCAUAUUCCAAUUCUGGAUAUAUUCCAAAUAUCAAAUAACACACAAUUAAAAUAUAAUACACACAUGAUAUAAUUUAAUAGGGGGCCCCACUGGUCAUAGACACCAGGAGCCCCUAGUGCAUGACAGGUGGGCCCCGUGGCCCACUUGCGAGUGGCACACUACAACAACAAAAUAUGCAAAGAAUAAUAAAAUUUAUCUAGCUGCCCCUAGUUCUUAUUUACGUGUUUUUUCUUUUCUUGCAAGCCUAUCCUAUCACUCCUACAAGUACUUCUAGUAUCAUACUUGUUCUAGGUAAAGCGAACGUAAAGUAUGCGUAGAGUUGUAUCGGUGGUCGAUAGAACUUGAGGGAAUAUUUCUCCUACCUUUAGCUCCUCGUUGGGUUCAACACUCUUACUUAUUGAGAAGGGCUACAAUUGAUCCCCAUAGCACAGAGACGCGGACGACAAACUGCCGGUGCAAACACACACUAACGCCGACGGCUAUGCGGGGCUACGCGGGGAUCCACUCGAAGGAUUACACAGAGUUAUGGCGCUACACUACGCGGCUACAAAGAGAGAGCAUCUCGAUGGCCUACGCAACAUGCAUGCAUACACGCGGCUGCGCGCGAGCGGCUAUGGCUACACGGCUCAUCGGUGCAACUCCGACGGCUCUUCGAUCUAACGUGACGAUGGCGAUGUAGAGAGGGCAUGGGAAGAGCAGGGAUGCACGCUCACCGACAGGGCAGAGAAGAGGGGCUCACGUGAUGGAGAGGGGAGUACGUCGACGAUCUGGUUCUUCUGCAGAAGGUGUCGCCGGAGGUGAAGAAGAGCCGGUCAUCGGAGACGUAGUGGACGUCAAUCUUGGCGCCCGAUCACCGCAGGAAUGGAACCACUUGACGUUCGCGUGCUCCUGGUCCGGUCGGGGAAGAAGAAGACGCCUCCUAUGCCGGUGAUAAACUACUGCAGGAGCCGGUCAUGGCGUCGAUGGUGGUGCUCGUAGGUUGCCCCCGGCGGCGCUAGGAGGGAGAGGAGGAGGGGAACGGCGAGGGUUAGUGUUAGAGAGGAGCUGGGAAUACUAAAUAGUUCGAUCCACGCGCUCGGAGCCAUCAAAUCAAGGGAAAAGUGCGAUCAGUGGUGGUGUAGCGUUCGUACAGUGCUGACGCACGCGAGGAGGAAGAAGGUGUCGCCGACUGGGCUUUGGGCCAAAAUCAACAGGAAUGGGCCUGGUUACUCUCCCUCUCUACGCAAAACUUUUUCAAAAAAAAUAGCAUGUACUUUUCAAUAAAUUAUAGAGGCUAAAAGAAAAAGGGGUUUUGAUAAGAUAAAAAUAUCUCCCGUCUUCUAAAAUCUUACCACUAUUUACAAAAAUAAGUGGGGCAUUUUAGAUGAGAAAAAAUAAAUUCCUUUAUUUGAAAUGGGGCUCUAUUUUAAUUAAAACCAAAAGUAAAAUGAAAUCUAACCAGAGGGGGUGCACUCCACAAUUAACAAGAUGAUUUUUUAGAAGGGGAGGAACAUUUUUAUGAAGGAAAAACAAAAACUUCUAAAUCUGCCACUAAAAUAAAGAAAGAACGGUUUAGGUGCUAUGGUGCAACAAGAGGGUUUUGAGUUGGAUCUUGUUGCACCCAAUCAUCUUGCAAACACCAAGUCACAUCCACACAUUGCACUCACACUUAAAAACACCAAGGUGCAACACAAAACAAAGAUGAAUGAUGUUAUGCAUGGUGCCAUGAUGCAACAGAAUGAAGUCAAGAUCAAUCUCAUUCCACUUAACACCAACAUAGCAUGGUUGCCAUACAAGGAAAUAUAUACAAAAGGGGGAAGGUAUUGCAUUGGGGCUGUUACACUAUACCAUUCGGUAAGAGAAUAUGUCACUAUUUUUUAUUGAUGUAUGUUGUUUUAAAUUAUGUCAUCUAAUCGUCAAUACAUGUUUUGUAGCUUGACGACGCAGCCCAGAGGACGGAAGAAACAUACGGUAUGUGUGGUUGUGUUUGGGCCCUCUCCAUUUGGAUGUGGGAGAGGAUCUGAGUGAGGCGUCUGGAGAAACUCGCACAGAGUCCAUGGACUGACUCUGGCGAACAUGACGACGAAGCUCGAUACCCGACCGUCGUGUACGCUUGGGACGUGGUGGGUGUGUACACGGGCAUAUCCAAUGUUUUGUACAAGGUGUUCACCAACGAGCUUGAUGGCCUGAAGGAUUUCCGAGUUUAGGAACUAGAUUUUGAAUAUUUCCAAUGGUAUUUUCUCGUGAGCUUACCAACUUUUUUGUACUAGGCUAAUUGGCAAUCGUAUUGUGACAGCCCAGAACCGACGCUCCAGAAGAUUCCCCUUUUAUUCUGUUGUCGUCGUGUGAAUUAUUUGGUUGUUGCAUUCAUUAUAGCAUCAUGCGCAUCAUCCACAUUUCAUCGGUGCUCUACUGCCAUGAUUUUCUCAAAACUUGCAUCCGUUAUAAGAUGCCGGUUCUUCCUGUUCUUGUCGUUAACCGUUUUGAGAGCAACCACACACGCACGCGCCCGUGACUUUAUUUAAAUAUUGUUUUUUAAAAGUGUGUAUAAAACAUUCUCAGAAUGUGUUUAAAGUUGGUGUGCGGUAUUAUUUUAAUGCAGGUAGACCGCCUGCCAAAUUUUGUCGCAUUCGGAGUCACUUUGGUACCCGAACCGUUAAAUAUAUAGCGACACUAUAUCCAGUUAAAUUGUCGAACGUUUCCGGUUUAUAAAACGUUGUCACGGACCGCAAACCUCCCUCCCACCCCUAGCCUCUCUAACACAGCCCACCAGCCCACCAUCUCUUAACCCUAACCCUCUCUGCUUCCGGACAGUCCCAUCGGGAUCGAACGGUCCAAAAACAGACUAAACUACUAACCCUAGCCUCUCCUCUAUAAAUAGAACCCCUUCCCUGCCUAAUUUGGCCUUCCCCUACCUCCCACGUGCAGCCUGCCCGCCACCGCCACUUAUCACCGCCAGCACCACCCAGCGCCGUCGUAGCCGCCGUCCGCAGCCAAUGGGAGGUUGCCACCUAUCCCCCAAAGCCCCCCAGCCACCGCGGCCCGCGCGGCUCGGAUUGGGCCCUCCUGGGUUCGAAGCCAGCCAUUGCUUGCCCUCACCAUGAUCUGGAUUGGGAGCCAACCGUAGCCUGCCCCGCCUCCCAUGGCCGCCCGCCGCAGUAGCUCCACCGGAGCCCCGACACCUCUAGAGAACCCCCACCAUCGAGGUCAUGCCCCGCCGGACGUCCUCCUCCUCUCUUUCCCGUUUGCUCUCUCUCACACAACUUCUACCUCUCUCCCUCUCAUUCAUCCUCACAGGAGCCGCAAUGGAGGCCGCCGGAAGUCCGGAACCGGCCCCACACCUCACUCCGCCGGGAAUGGGUUCCCCUUCACCGGAUCCGGCCAUCCCCGCCGUGCAUUGGCCAGAUCCGGUGAUCCCACACGCUUGGAGCUCUAGCCCCGCUGCCAUGGCCACCUCUGUGCAGUGCGUGCACGCGAGGAGGAUGGUCACUGCGUUGAUCGAGCGCGCCCAUGUUUGCACCACCCAACUUUCUUGGGCGCAGUCGCACCCCGCGCGAGCGACCUGCCCCGCCUGGCCUCCUUCACCACAAGGGUCCGAGGCCCACUAAGGUGUUGGCCUGCCCCUGCUAAGCCUCACCCGAUGCACAUUAUAGCAUAUGUCGCCAAGUGCUCCCCAGAUUCGGCCCAUGCCUGAUUUUUUUCCUGUCUUGUGAUUUUCGUAAUUUCGAGUGCAUUAAUAAUUAUAGAAUAUUGCAUAAUUUAAACAUGCUAAUAAAUAAUUAACCGUGCAUCGGAUUGUUAUGCUGUAAAUAUGUAAAAUGUGUAGAAUUUUGUAUAGAUUAAUAAUUUCCAACUAUCCUCCAUGUUAAAAAUAUUUAAAAUGUUGUUUGCACGAAUUUUUUAUAAUUUUCAUAGUCUUGCAUAAUUGUUGUGUCAUUUUUCCCAUAGUAAGUACCCACAUGUUAUAUAUGAUUUUGGGAUAGAAAAAUCCUAGCAAUGUACAUGUGACCUUAGUUUUGUCAUUUGAGCAAGUGUGUGUGCAUGCUAUUUUGUUGUGAUGCCUUUUGUAUUUUGUGUGAUUUAAUCCGUACAUCGGAAUUAAACUAACUUGAUAUUAAAAAUGUUUAUAAUUUUGUGUAGCUUCACAAUAUCCAACUUUCAUGAAUGUAUAAAAUAUUAAACUUGCCGUUUGCAUUGUUUUGCAAAAUGCCAUGUUAAAACAAUUUAUUUAAUAAAUAAAUAACCGUAACUCCGAUUUAAAUAAACUUUAUAUGAAAAUUUUUGUGCUUGAUGUGCUCUACAUGAUUGUGGAAUUUUCAUGCAUAGUAGGCUGGAUCUAUAUGCUCGUAUUUGUGUUGCAAAGUUUCGCGGAUGAUUGCAAACAAACUGUAGGCCUUUUACAUGUGGUUUCUUCA
rnacentral:lncRNA from 1 species